ACGCCCUUCGUGGGGAUCCCCUCCCCCACCCCAGCCUGGAACUUUUCUCUCCCGACCCGGACCCACCACUCGCCUCCGCCUCCGGCACUGGCUUGCCCAGCGCACCCCGACCACGACGUCCUUUCGGGUCACGAGACUCGGACCUCGACACCCCGUCCCCGCCCUCAAGGCUCCCAACUCAGGCACCAGGUCCGCACCUCUCUCGGGCCCCAGAGCCGGAAGUUUCGCCCGCCCAGACCCUGCGCCCCGCCCCUUCUAACUUUCAGACCUUUCCCCGCACUUGUCAGCUGAGUGUCUCCUACCAUUCCCCCGUUGGAACCCCAGUCUAAGGCCCAAACCUACCUUUGACUCUCACUCCUGUCCUGGUUUCCCCGUCCACACCGGUACGCAGGCCCUGCAGCUCCCCGACCACAAUCCGAACCCAGACCGCCCUUCUGGCCUCUGCCGAGUCUUGCUGACACCCCUCCCUGGGCUUCCAGCCUCCAGCUGCCCUCUCCCCAGAUUCUCUGAGCACUUUCCUCCACCCCCAGGACUACAGGUACCCCUCCUUAUUUGUUGGGGGGAGUCUGGGGCACCUCACAAAUGCCCUUCUCUGACUGGGCCCCUCCAGUUAUUUAUUUGUGUAUUUAUUUAUUUAUCUAUUUAUUAUUAUAUUUAAUCUCUUGGCCUCACCCAGGGAUGGUCUGGCUUCCCCAGCUGGACUGGGAGGUCAGGGAGCCAGGCAAGGAGAGGGACGGCAAAGGCCAUGGAAGGCUGUCCUCCCACCACACACACACCCCCUCUUGGGGAGUGAGGAAGAAGCCUCACCCUCAUCAGAGCCUGAACUUGCUGGGAAAGGCUUAGGGGAAGGGGUUACGAGAAUGGGAGGGAUAGCCUGCUGACCCUCAACUUGGGGGGGUGAGGGGUAUGAGGAGGUCCAGUCAUGGGGCAGGUCCCCGCCCUCCUGAGCCUUCCACUCCCACUCCAAGGACACCGGAGAGAGGAGCCUCCUCGAUCUGUUUCCUAUUUAUUCCUCUUCUCGAGGGACCCCAGGUUCCAGGGACCGACUGAGCCCCGGACCCCGCUGGGGCCUCCGGCCUGCUCCACUCCCGGGAGGAGCGCUCCCUCCCGGCCACGUCUAUGCAACUCUCCCGGGCAGAGGGGCCGGGGCUGCCAGCUGCCCCACGUUGGCCGCCACUACCUCCCCCGCCGCGCUUUUGCAUGCCCGGGCGAGGACCGAAGCACACACCUCCAAGCUCACGUGCCCUGGCCUCCUCUGCUUUAAGCACAUGCCUCUUCCCUAUCACUAGGCGCCCAACUCUGGGGGCAGGAGUCCUGGACUCUCCAACCCUCCCUUUCUCCCUCCAGCCACAAAGGAGGGUGGAGACUGGAGGGGCCACUGGAGCAGGGGCACUUCCCUAGGGCUUCUCGGCUCCAGGCCUGCCUCCGGGGAAGGGAGGCAGCAGGGAUGGGGGGAGGGAGAGGGGUCGCAGAAGCAAUUACGGAGGGUGUUGACCCUGUAAAUAGGAACUUCCGACAGCAAUAAUUUUCCAUGCAUGCUAAGCCUUUUGGCCAUAUUUUGUAUGAGCGCUUGGCGCUCCCCGUCCCUCCUCCCCCAUCUCGCACCCCAGAACCCCAUCCCUUCUCUCACCUCCAGCAGUAUUACUUGUAACGCAAUUCAGGGAUAUUAAAGGGACUUUGGCCACUCA